rnacentral:rRNA from 1 species
UAACAAGGUCCAGUAAGUGAGCGAGCUGAUCGAUCUAUACAGAGUGCUGGACUUCUUCGCUCCACCGCAAGCCUUCAUAACUNAGUCUGCCUCCGGGUACGCGAGAUNCACCUGUANCUGGAUGCAUCUUCCCUCUAUGCUUUAUGGGUCAACAAUCAGCUGCUGCGCGCUAAACGCGUGUAGUCCACAGAUCAAACGCGAUUGUGCCUCUUCUCUUUGUAGGUCCCUAAGAGAAGCCGUUAAGAUAUGACCGUAGCAGCUUUGCGAAGAGCCUGGUAUACUAGUUCCGUAGGUGAACCUGCGGAAGGAUCAUUA